UACGUAGGGACCGAGCGUUGUCCGGAUUCAUUGGGCGUAAAGAGCUCGUAGGUGGUUUGUCGCGUUGUUCGUGAAAACUCACAGCUCAACUGUGGGCGUGCGGGCGAUACGGGCAGACUUGAGUACUGCAGGGGAGACUGGAAUUCCUGGUGUAGCGGUGGAAUGCGCAGAUAUCAGGAGGAACACCGGUGGCGAAGGCGGGUCUCUGGGCAGUAACUGACGCUGAGGAGCGAAAGCGUGGGGAGCGAACAGG
rnacentral:rRNA from 1 species